rnacentral:rRNA from 1 species
UGAAACUAGAUACAAGCGAGCGGCGGACGGGUGAGUAACACGUGGGUAACCUGCCCAAGAGACUGGGAUAACACCUGGAAACAGAUGCUAAUACCGGAUAACAACACUAGACGCAUGUCUAGAGUUUGAAAGAUGGUUCUGCUAUCACUCUUGGAUGGACCUGCGGUGCAUUAGCUAGUUGGUAAGGUAACGGCUUACCAAGGCAAUGAUGCAUAGCCGAGUUGAGAGACUGAUCGGCCACAUUGGGACUGAGACACGGCCCAAACUCCUACGGGGGGCAGCAGUAGGGAAUCUUCCACAAUGGACGAAAGUCUGAUGGAGCAACGCCGCGUGAGUGAAGAAGGGUUUCGGCUCGUAAAGCUCUGUUGGUAGUGAAGAAAGAUAGAGGUAGUAACUGGCCUUUAUUUGACGGUAAUUACUUAGAAAGUCACGGCUAACUACGUGCCAGCAGCCGCGGUAAUACGUAGGUGGCAAGCGUUGUCCGGAUUUAUUGGGCGUAAAGCGAGUGCAGGCGGUUCAAUAAGUCUGAUGUGAAAGCCUUCGGCUCAACCGGAGAAUUGCAUCAGAAACUGUUGAACUUGAGUGCAGAAGAGGAGAGUGGAACUCCAUGUGUAGCGGUGGAAUGCGUAGAUAUAUGGAAGAACACCAGUGGCGAAGGCGGCUCUCUGGUCUGCAACUGACGCUGAGGCUCGAAAAGCAUGGGUAGCGAACAGGAUUAGAUACCCUGGUAGUCCAUGCCGUAAACGAUGAGUGCUAAAGUGUUGGGAGGUUUCC